AUUGAACGCUGGCGGCAGGCCUAACACAUGCAAGUCGAGCGAGAGGCGGACGGGUGAGUAAUGUCUGGGAAACUGCCUGAUGGAGGGGGAUAACUCCAGGAAACGGUAGCUAUUACCGCAUACCAUCAGAUGUGCCCAGAUGGGAUUAGCUGGUAGGGGGGGUAACGGCUCACCUAGGCGCCGAUCCCUAGCUGGUCUGAGAGGAUGACCAGCCACACUGGAACUGAGACACGGUCCAGACUCCUACGGGAGGCAGCAGUGGGGAAUAUUGCACAAUGGGCUCAAGCCUGAUGCAGCCAUGCCGCGUGUGUGAAGAAGGCCUUCGGGUUGUAAAGCACUUUCAGCGGGGAGGCGUUACCCGCAGAAGAAGCACCGGCUAACUCCGUGCCAGCAGCCGCGGUAAUUC
rnacentral:rRNA from 1 species